UCUGAAGUCUCACCGUGUGUCCCCUACUCUGCUCCUGAUCAGUGAUCCUGAGUGAUGUCAUGCUGUUCUGGCUCUAUUUCUUCAUCCCUCUCUCCAUUAAACAUAUCCAGUUCCUUAAUUCCUCAUCAAUCCUAUUUACUUCCUUGUACAUCACAGGUGUUCUGGUGCCACAUUCGACCUUCAACCAGAUGUCUGAACCUGGCAUCUGGCUCCUCCCCAGGAAAUAGCUAAGCAUUGUUCCUUGUUGCCCCUUGGUGAGGAAGGGAGAGGGUCGCUGGAAAAGGUGAUGGAAGACAAAUGGCUCCAGGAGGUGAAGUUAACUCCCAGAGAGAAAGGUCGGGGAGUGGGAAGCAGAGGGAGGAGAUGGAGAUGUGAUGGCUGGAGCUGCAGAAACCACCCGUGACCAGGAGGUAAUCUUGAAGAUGGAAACUACAAAUGAAGGAUGUUGGCAGCUGGAAGAAUAAGGCGGGGACAUCCAUGAUAUUUUGAUGCUACUAUACCAGCUCUGGACUACCAACUUCCCAACUUCACGUUAUUUGAGAGAAAGUUGGUCAAUAUCCCCCAAGAAUUGUGGUACCUACCACGGAACCCAGUACUUCAGUGUGGUCUAACCACAGCCCACGGAGGACCAGGGCUGCCUAUGAUCUCCACCUCACUUCCCUGCAUGCAGUCAAAGA